GAUGAACGCUGGCGGCGUGCCUAACACAUGCAAGUCGAACGGCAAGGCCCUGCUUUUGUGCGGUUCUCGAUUGCCGAACGCGUGCGUAUCACGUGAGUAUCCUGCCCUUGUCUUUGGUAUAACUUCACGUAACUGGGGCUACUACCGGAUAGGAUAUCCUGCUCCAUGGUGGGCGUUGGAUCGUUUCGGCUGUUGGGGAUGGACUCGCGGCUUAUGAGCUUGUUUGUGGGGUAGUUGCUUACCAAGGCUUUGAAGGGUAGCCGGCCUGAGAGGGUGACCGGCGACAUGGGGACUGAGAGAGGGACCAGAGUGCUACGGGAGGCAGCAGGGGGGAGUAUGGCACAGUGAGCGGAAGCGUGAGGCAGAAACGCCGGGUGCGGGAAGACGGCUUUCGGGUAGAGAACAGCUGUAGCCUGUGACGAAGCGGGAGUGACGGUAACGGAUAAAGAAGCACCGGCUAACUACGUG
rnacentral:rRNA from 1 species